rnacentral:rRNA from 1 species
CUCUCUUUGUAAUAUUUAUAUAAGGAGUUGGGCCUGCUCGGUGAAUAAUUGUUUUAACAGCUGCGGUAUUUUAACUGUACUAAGGUAGCAUAAUAAUUUGCCUUAUAAUUUGAGGCUAGAAUGAAUGGUUUGACGAAGGUUAAUCUGUCUCUAUCUUAUUUUUUAGAAUUUAAUUUUAUAGUGAAAAAGCUUUAAUUUUUUAAAGGGACGAGAAGACCCUAUUGAGCUUAUAAUUUUAUUAUUAUUAUAGAUAUUUAUUUUUAUAGUGAUAUAUAAAUUUUAGUUGGGGUGAUUAAGGAAUAAAUUUAACUUCCUUAGAGUAAAUAUUAUUUGAUUAAGUAACCAAUAUAUUAUUGCUUUUAUUAUAGUUACCAUAGGGAUAACAGCGUAAUUUGUUUAGAGAGUUCUUAUUGAAAAAUGAGAUUGCGACCUCGAUGUUGGAUUAAAGUGACCUUAAGGUGAAGAAGCUUUAGUUAGGUAAAUCUGUUCGAUUUUUAAAACUUU